rnacentral:rRNA from 1 species
GACGAACGCUGGCGGCGUGGAUUAGGCAUGCAAGUCGAACGGUAUCAUCCUUUCGGGGAUGAGAGAGUGGCGAACGGGUGAGUAACACGUAGGUGAUCUACCCUCAAGACGGGGACAACCCAGGGAAACUUGGGCUAAUACCGGAUGUGAGCUAUCGCGAGAUAGUUUGAAAGGUGGCUUCGGCUGCCGCUUGGGGAUGAGCCUGCGUCCUAUUAGCUAGUUGGUGAGGUAACGGCUCACCGAGGCAGUGAUAGGUAGGCGGCCUUAACGGGUGGUCGCCCACACUGGGGUUGAGAUACGGCCCAGACUCCUACGGGAGGCAGCAGUCGAGAAUAGUCUACAAUGGUCGAAAGACUGAUAGUGCGACGCCGCGUGAACGAAGAAGCCCUUCGGGGUGUAAAGUUCUUUUAUAUGUGAGCAGUGACAUCUAUAUUAAUAGUAUGGGUGUAGAGAUAUUAGCAUAUGAAUAAGCAACGGCUAACUCCGUGCCAGC